AUACGUAGGGGGCGAGCGUUGUCCGGAAUGAUUGGGCGUAAAGGGCGCGUAGGCGGCGCGGUAAGUCUGGAGUGAAAGUCCUGCUUUCAAGGGGGGAAUCGCUUUGGAUACUGCCGCGCUUGAGUGCAGGAGAGGUUAUCGGAAUUCCCGGUGUAGCGGUGAAAUGCGUAGAGAUCGGGAGGAACACCAGUGGCGAAGGCGGGUAACUGGACUGCAACUGACGCUGAGGCGCGAAAGUGUGGGGAGCAAACAGGAUUAGAUACCCUGGUAGUCCACACUGUAAACGAUGAAUGCUAGGUGUAAGAGGUAUCGACCCCUUUUGUGCCGGAGUCAACACAAUAAGCAUUCCGCCUGGGGAGUACGGCCGCAAGGUUGAAACUCAAAUGAAUUGACGGGG
rnacentral:rRNA from 1 species